rnacentral:misc_RNA from 1 species
AAAGCAAGCUCACUCCAAAACACCAAUAACAAGUCAAAUCCAUACAAAUCAAACCGACUCACCCUUAACUAAAUCAAAGCAAACCAAACCACCAAAAAACCGUGCCCACCCUAGGAACCCUAGGAAAACAGAGAAGAUGCCCACUGCCAUCCAUCAAAGCUCACCAUCAUCGGAGAAGCAAAAGCUGGAAUUGAACCUAGCUAACACCACUAUCAUUCCAAGGAUCACCUACAUAGUCCAUUACAACUCAACACCUCCUAAG